rnacentral:misc_RNA from 1 species
GAUGAAGAAUGUAGCAAAAUGCGAUAAGUGAUGUGAAUUGCAGAAUUCAGUGAAUCAUCGAAUCUUUGAACGCACAUUGCGCCCGCUGGUAUUCCGGCGGGCAUGCCUGUUCGAGCGUCAUUUCAACCCUCAAACCCCCCGGGUUUGGUGUUGGGGAUCGGCUCUGCCUCACGGCGGUGCCGCCCCCGAAAUACAUUGGCGGUCUCGCUGCAGCCUCCAUUGCGUAGUAGCUAACACCUCGCAACUGGAACGCGGCGCGGCCAUGCCGUAAAACCCCAACUUCUGAAUGUUGACCUCGGAUCAGGUAGGAAUACCCGCUGAACUUAAGCAUAUCAAUAAGCGGAGGA